CUCUGGCUAGUGGGGCCUGGCAACCAGACAGAAGUAUGGCAGGCUGACGUCACGUAGCAGGAAAUGCGGAGACAAGAACCUGAGUAUGUUGUCCCUGAGGCAGGGCUGGAGAUACAAGGGCCCAGUAGGAAGAGGCCCAGGGAAAUAGCAACGAUGGAUUGAGAUCAUUGGCUGAAGUGGCAAAACAAAGAUGCACAUGAUUCACUCCCCUCUGACAGAGCACCCAGUGACCUUACACUACAAUCUGUAUGCCUCUGAAAAACUCAAAAGGGCACAAAAGCAGCCCCAUCCCCUGGAAUGAAAAAAAGGAAAACAGCCAGGAGCAAGUAAACUGAAAACUCAAUACGUAAGCUGAAAAAGAUUCUAGAUAAGGAGUUGAAGCAUCCAGAAUGUGUACGCUGAAUAAAGCCACCGAUCUAAAAAUUGAUAGUGACACACCAACAGCAGGAAAGCCUAGCAGACGAAAAUGCUAAACUAAAGUAGGAGACACACUGG